rnacentral:rRNA from 1 species
CCUACGGGAGGCAGCAGUGGGGAAUAUUGCACAAUGGGGGAAACCCUGAUGCAGCAACGCCGCGUGAGUGAUGACGGCCUUCGGGUUGUAAAGCUCUGUCUUCAGGGACGAUAAUGACGGUACCUGAGAGGAAGCCACGGCUAACUACGGGACAGCAGCCGCGGGAAUACGUAGGUGGCGAGCGUUGUUCGGAUUUACUGGGCGGAAAGGGGGCGUUGGCGGACUUUUAAGUGAGAUGUGAAAUACUCGGGCUCAACUUGAGUGCUGCAUUUCAAAAUGGAAGUCUAGAGUGCAGGAGAGGAGAAUGGAAUUCCUAGUGUAGCGGUGAAAUGCGUAGAGAUUAGGAAGAACACCAGUGGCGAAGGCGAUUCUCUGGACUGUAACUGACGCUGAGGCUCGAAAGCGUGGGGAGCAAACAGGAUUAGAUACCCGGGUAGUC